AUUUCUUGGUUCCUCCCUCUUCAGGUUUGAAUAGGAGGCUCCAUUAUAUCGCGGGACGGAGUAUGGCAAGUCACGUGACGAGGAAGAAGCAGUAGCUCGGCCUCGGGAAAAGGGCUUAUCUGUUGCGGAGCUCCUGGUAACCUUGGCGAUGCGCUCUUAGGAGCAGAAGAUUGAAGCUACCUGAUUUUUGUCUCCGGUACCUUAGUCUCGGGUGGUAUCCUGUGAUGGGGAAAUGAGUCCUCUCUUACCAUGUCUGGCUGGCGGCGACCCAGAUGCCAUGUGAUGGCCAUUUGAAGACAGGCCUUUUGGACAUCAGGUUUUUCCAGCACUGGACUCUGGACCAAGAGGCAGUGGAUUCCCACAACCUCCUGACCCUGACUCAGCCUUGGUCCCUCCUCUUCACAACUGCUGGCCACACUGCCAAGGAGAGAACAAGGCAAAGUUCCUUCUCUCGAUGUUUCUGGAACACGUCCAGCGCAUUGUCUCCUGCCAGGCGGGCUGGGGAGACAUGAAGAUGAUUGGCCACAGUUUGUGUGGUCCUGUGCCCCGCUACCUAUCCUCAUCUUCCUUUCCAUAGUCAUAGUCCAUGUGUUCAGUCACGCUCUGUUGCUUUUAUCCCUGGCCUUGCCUCACUGCAUCAGUUCCCCAGACACAUUUAUCUUAUCUUUGCCAACUUUGCACUCCUGCUUGUGCUAAUCUCAGACCUCAUCUCUUGCCUUGAGACAACAGUCUCAUGUUUGACACCCUUUCUUGUCAUUUAACUGUCUUUCCCUUCCUGAUCUUAUUUCAUCAAUAUCUAUGAUUGGAAAAAUCACCUUAAUUAAGGUGAUAACAUCUUAAUCACUCAUAUGCCUACACCUCUUCUCUACAGUAUAUUGCUUUGGUUAAUUUCAUGUGUCUUGAACCUCCCCUGCCGCACCUUGGCCAUCCUCAAAAAGCUUUGAGGAGCUGUGUUUGCUUUCUGUUUCUGACUUCAUUGUUCCAAGACUCACCAGCAAAGUCUAUAUUAUCAACUUGUUCCUGCUCUUAUCUGUACUUACACUUACCUGCCUCAAAGUGAUAGAUUUCACGUUUCCGUCAUCACUGCCCUUGCCUCAGUUGCCUCCAUAAUCAUCUCUCUUGUUUCCCCAACAAAUUCUGAAUUAGCUGUCAUUCAUCCCCGCCUCCUGUCAGCAUGCUCCCUGUCCCUGACGGUUGUCUUCCAUGUUUUCCCAACCAAACCAGCUCUCCAAGUCAUAUUAUUUAUUGUUUCCCUUAGCUGUGUCCUCGCAGGGGUCCUCCCCAGCCCCUAUUCCAUGUGCUAAUCUUACCUGUCCUGCCCUAACUUCUUCCCAGUCCCAUCCAGAUCUCCUUCUCACUUUUACUUGGACUUCUCUGUUUUCCAUCACUGCUUCAACGCCCAUUCUAUGUCCUCACCUUCUUGGAGGGUGGGAGCUACACACCACUUAUGUCCCUAUCCAGCCCCACUCGCAGCCUUUUUUAGUCUAUGUAUAAAUUCGGUAGUUUAUAACUUUCCCCCAUUUCCUGUCUUCUUCGCACUUAACCUGCUGAACACCCACUUUUUUCAAGCCCCCCUGACUUUCCUCAGUCCUCCCCCCCACCUUCGUCAGCAGUUCCCCAGGCUCCGCACCGCCCACCACUGCCCCCACCGGUGCCCUCGGGCAGGCACAGGACGCCGUCGCCCUGCACCCAGCUGUAGCACGGGAAGGCGGCCUCCUCGCCGGCUCCAGGGCCCUGCACCGUGAUGCGGUCGCAGAACCACGCGUCGUCCACCAGGGAGUGGUGUUUGCGCAGCUUCACGAACUGCAGCGGCCCCAAGUCGUCGGGAACGUCGUGCUCAAACUCCUCCUCCUGUGGGACCAGAACCCGGAGACUUUAGUGGCAGGGUCCUGGGAGAGGCCGUUUUGCCGGGAGUGAGGGUUGGGGGUCUGAGGCGGGGUGCGGACAGAAGAGGGGGGACCUUGGUGGCCUCCGUUGACAAUGCCUCCAAAGACCUCGUUCCCUCCUCUGGACACCUGCGCGGUGGAUUUUAGGCGCCCCAUGGCACCAGGAGGACAAGGGAAGGCGGCGCGUGGCCCGCAUUGUCUUGAAUUGCUGCCUGAGCACCAUCACUUCCAUCCGUUCUUUAACUGAGCCAUUCCCGUCUGCGCUCUCCCAGGAGCUUCCCAUUUGACACUGAUGCUAUAUUGACACUGGCCUGGGGUCAUUUAGAGAGUCAGUUGGAGGCUGUGAAGACCAGGGUAACUGGGAAGGGAGAAGGGGGUGGCGUUCAGCCCGUCUCUGGCUCCCGACCCUCCUUCUCCUCGCCCCUCCUCGCCCAGGCGCAGGCAUCCCAACACCUGGAAGUCCCAGCCAGUGCGGUCCAGCUGUCAUUUAGCUCCUGGAUCCCGCGCCUCGCCGGCCUCUCGCCUCUGGGCUGCCCUCCCACCGCGAGCCCAAGCCCGGGCCGGGGUGGGGGCCCCCGCUCCCGCCUGCUGACCUGGCCCCGCACCGGCCGCAGCUCCAGCUCCAGCUCCGUCUCCCCGUGCGCCCCGACCAGCCACAGCCGCACGCGGUUGUGCGACCCGGCGAAGAGCGAGGCCCCGGUGGCUACGCGGAUGCAGUAGCGGCCCAUGGCGGCCCUGGCGGCUUAGACGAGGGGAGUCGGGACGUGCGCGCUUCUUGGGGCCGCGGGCGGGUGUCGAGACGCCUUGGGGCCCGGGCCAGGCCCGGGCCUUUAAAGAUGGGUCCGCGUCCCCGCCCUUCUCACGACUUGCUGGCGCUCUCAGUCCCCGCCCCAGACUAGCCCGAACCUGUGAGCGGCAGAGCCGGCUGUGGGGAAGGGCCGCGCCUCCGGAUCCGGGCGGAGCUGCGGGAGAUAAAGGGGCACCGGCCUCGGUGAGGCCGAGAGGAUGGAAUUGCCUGUGUUUCUCUGGACCUCCGAGGGAGCCUCGGGGUUGAGGGAGCAAGGCUGAGGACUUCCCGGGGUCCCCAGGCCUUUCGGAGAGCUAGGCGGAAGAGGAGGUGGGUCGGUCUUCCAAUGGAGGGGAAAGUCUCUGCUUUUCUUGGCUGGGCCCCAGGGAGCACGCAGUGUCCUGCUGCUAGACCCGGUAUGGCCAGUAGGUUUUCAGUUCCUGCUUUCGACCUCAUUUGAGCCCAGUGUUUUAGUAAAUGACCUGAGGUCCCCCAGGCUUCCUAGAACCGGAAAAGUAGCAGUUCAAAGACUUGCACCCCAGACCUCAACCUGCUUUCCAACAUGGCUAGGUUAAGACCCCAGGCACACCAGAUACAGGGGGAGGCCCCGCUGAGGCAGGGCAGUGAAAACCUUUUGUCCAACGUUCACAGUGGGUGCAGAGAAUGUUAGGAUCCAGGUGUCAGGGUACAGUGUGGAGUAACUUAGGGACACAGCAUCCAUGGACAGUUCCCCUGGACUUUGUUCCCUUCCAGGUGAACACAACCUCUUCCCCUUCCAUAUGUUCCAGGUUAAUUUUUUAUUUUUUAAAAGUUUAAUUUUUUAAAAUUGAAGUAUAGUCAGUUUACAGUGUGUCAAUUUCUGCAGUACAGCAUAAAUGUUUCAGUCAUACUUAUAUAUAU